UCUGGGACAACAGUUGGAAACGACUGCUAAUACCGGAUAUGUAUUACUUCCGCAUGGAAGUAAUAUGAAAGAAGCGUUUGCUUCCCUUAAGGAUGAGAGUGCGCUGUAUUAGUUAGUUGGUAGGGUAAAGGCCUACCAAGACGAUGAUACAUAGCGGGGUCGAGAGGCUGAACCGCCACACUGGGACUGAGAUACGGCCCAGACUCCUACGGGAGGCAGCAGUAGGGAAUUUUCCACAAUGAACGAAAGUUUGAUGGAGCGACACAGCGUGCAGGAUGAAGGUCUUCGGAUCGUAAACUGCUGUUAUAAGAGAAGAACAAGUUUGAUAGGAAAUAAUCAAACCCUGACGGUACCUUAUCAGAAAGCACCGGCAAACUAUGUGCCAGCAGCCGCGGUAAUACAUAGGGUGCAAGCGUUAUCCGGAAUUAUUGGGCG
rnacentral:rRNA from 1 species